CAAUAUCACCGUCCUGCUGCGAU
rnacentral:sRNA from 1 species